CCGGGCGUCGUCCUGGAUACCAGUCGUGUGCUUCCGGUCGCUGUGCGAUGCUAAGCUUAGCGUGCUAACGAGCUGCUCCGAGUUUCAUCCGAAUUUUAAAAUCGAAAUAAAGACAGAAUCGAAUCGAAGCGAUGCGCGUCAGCCGCCGCAGUUUGGACAGAAUCUUCUCGAUCGGUCUUCUGCUGCUGGUUCUGCUCUCGUGGGGCUUCGUCAUCUACGGCACACGAGUCGCCGCACAGUGGGAGCUGGAGAAACGAGAGAAGAUCAAGACGUAAAGCUCAGCAAACAUGAGCCGAGACGCUGAGGACACAAACCCCUCACAAACACUUCUUCUGUAUAAAGACUGAUGUCUGUGUGUCUGCUUCAUUCACACUGCUCUGUGUGUGUGACUACACUUUCAGGCCACUAGAUGGCGUAGCGCACUAGAAACCGCUCAAGCACACUACAUAGGGCUCGAAAGAGAGCAGAGAUCCUGGAAUAUUCCACACACAAACCAGUGAUAAUGCAGUUGCACAAAACAAAUGCACAAUAAGAUUAUGAAGUAAGAUUAAUGAUGUUAUUACAGCAUCACUACGAGAGCUUGGACACUAUGCGCGUGUCAUUUUCUUGUGGUUUGUCUGUAUUUUAUGUGCCUACAUAUGUUUUAAAAUUAUCUUUAUUUCAGUUUGUUGUUUUUGUACAUCAGAGUAAAGUGGAAAAUGUUUCCUCAGUAACAUAACAUAAAUAAAACUUGAUUUGUUUUACAAAAAAGGUGUUUUUUAGUGGUUUUCAUCAACCGUUUAUUCUUCCUGUUUGGCUUUAAUUAAUAUCCAUUUCAGUUUUUGUUCAAUAUUAUAAUUAAACCCAACAUUUGUAACA